rnacentral:rRNA from 1 species
UACGAAGGGGACUAGCGUUGUUCGGAAUCACUGGGCGUAAAGCGCACGUAGGCGGUUGUGUCAGUCAGGGGUGAAAUCCCGGAGCUCAACUUCGGAACUGCCUUUGAUACAGCACGUCUUGAGUCCGAUAGAGGUGGGUGGAAUUCCUAGUGUAGAGGUGAAAUUCGUAGAUAUUAGGAAGAACACCGGUGGCGAAGGCGGCCCACUGGAUCGGUACUGACGCUGAGGUGCGAAAGCGUGGGGAGCAAACAGG